UACGUAGGGGACGAGCGUUGUCCGGAAUCACUGGGCGUAAAGGGUGCGUAGGCGGGUUUUUAAGUCAGGGGUGAAAUCCUGGAGCUCAACUCCAGAACUGCCUUUGAUACUGAGAAUCUUGAGUACGGGAGAGGUGAGUGGAACUGCGAGUGUAGAGGUGAAAUUCGUAGAUAUUCGCAAGAACACCAGUGGCGAAGGCGGCUCACUGGCCCGUAACUGACGCUGAGGCACGAAAGCGUGGGGAGCAAACAGG
rnacentral:rRNA from 1 species